rnacentral:rRNA from 1 species
GACGAACGCUGGCGGCGUGCUUAACACAUGCAAGUCGAACGAUGACGACCGAGCUUGCUCGGUCUGAUUAGUGGCGAACGGGUGAGUAACACGUGAGCAACCUGCCCUUCACUCAGGGAUAACCUCGGGAAAUCGGGGCUAAUACCGGAUAUGAGCUCCUGUCGCAUGGCGGGUGUUGGAAAGUUUUUCGGUGAAGGAUGGGCUCGCGGCCUAUCAGUUUGUUGGUGAGGUAGUGGCUCACCAAGGCGAUGGCGGGUAGCCGGCCUGAGAGGGCGACCGGCCACACGGGGACUGAGGCACGGCCCAGACUCCUACGGGAGGCAGCAGUGGGGAAUAUUGCACAAUGGGCGAAAGCCUGAUGCAGCGACGCCGCGUGAGGGAUGACGGCCUUCGGGUUGUAAACCUCUUUCAGCAGGGAAGAAGCGAAAGUGACGGUACCUGCAGAAGAAGCGCCGGCUAACUACGUG